GAUCAACGCUGGCGGCGUGCCUAAUGCAUGCAAGUCGGGCGGGGUGCGCUUCGGUGCACUCACGCGGCGGACGGGUGCGUAACACGUGGGCAACCUACCCUGGGGCGGGGGAUAGCCACCGGAAACGGUGGGUAAUUCCGCGUACGCUCAUCCUCCGGUGGGGAGGAUGAGGAAAGGCGAGCAAUCGCCACCCUUGGCGGGGCCUGCGGCCGAUUAGCUAGUUGGGGGGGUCACGGCUUCCCAAGGCGAUGAUCGGUAGCUGGUCUGAGAGGACGGCCAGCCACACGGGGACUGAGAGACGGCCCCGACUCCUACGGGAGGCAGCAGCAAGGAAUCUUCCGCAAUGGGCGCAGAGCCUGACGGAGCAACGCCGCGUGGGGGAUGAGGCCCUUCGGGGUGUAAACCCCUUUCUGUGGGAAGAAGUUCUGACGGUACCACAGGAAGAAGGACCGGCUAACUACGUGCCAGCAGCCGCAGUAAAAC
rnacentral:rRNA from 1 species